rnacentral:lncRNA from 1 species
GUUUGUUGCUGUGUGAUGGAUAGCAGCAGAGGGGCAGUCUGACAACAUGGUGUCUGGCGUGGAAGUGAGUAUGAACAAAAGUUAAAAACAUACACAAUGGUGAAAACGCGCACCUGCUGUGAUGCUGGUGACAGUAGUAAGAACGAUUUGAGUUCAUCUCAUCCUUGCUUGCAAAGAGGAGGCAAAUCUGGUCCAUGUUACCUCCCUGUAUCAAAUAUAAGUGGACUACAGGAGAAGCAUGAAGCAUGUCUGGAUGUUCUGCACCUGCUCUCUCAAGAUGAUCACAACAGCUGCUCUCUCCAGAUGAUCACAGAAAAGGAGCAGCCACCAACAGCUUUGCAGUUCUCCCAGGCUGCAAUUCAGGAAACAGGGAAGAUGCCUUGUCUGUUGGUUCCUGGUAUUUUACCUUCAUACCAGUUUUGAUCAACUCGCUUAAGAAGAACAACUCUGUCUCCCUGGAAUGCAUUAUAAAAAUGGGUUAUCAGCAG